AAUUAAAGGAUCUGGACCAGAAUCAGAAGAAACUAAAUUCGGAAGGAGCCACUGUACUGAGCAACAAUAAUGAGGCAAAUGCAGGAGUAACAGUUGAGUAGCCACUCUUAUAAUUUCUUAACAAUGACAGAA